GACGGAGGGUGCAAGCGUUGUUCGGAAUUAUUGGGCGUAAAGAGCUUGUAGGCGGUUUGUCGCGUCUGCCGUGAAAAUCCGGGGCUCAACCCCGGACUUGCGGUGGGUACGGGCAGACUAGAGUGUGGUAGGGGAGACUGGAAUUCCUGGUGUAGCGGUGAAAUGCGCAGAUAUCAGGAGGAACACCGAUGGCGAAGGCAGGUCUCUGGGCCACUACUGACGCUGAGAAGCGAAAGCGUGGGGAGCGAACAGG
rnacentral:rRNA from 1 species